UACGUAGGGUGCAAGCGUUAAUCGGAAUUACUGGGCGUAAAGCGUGCGCAGGCGGUUUGCUAAGACCGAUGCGAAAUCCCCGGGCUUAACCUGGGAACUGCAUUGGUGACUGGCAAGCUAGAGUGUGGCAGAGGGGGGUAGAAUUCCACGUGUAGCAGUGAAAUGCGUAGAGAUGUGGAGGAAUACCGAUGGCGAAGGCAGCCCCCUGGGCCAACACUGACGCUCAUGCACGAAAGCGUGGGGAGCAAACAGG
rnacentral:rRNA from 1 species